UACAGAGGGUGCGAGCGUUUAAUCGGAAUUACUGGGCGUAAAGCGUGCGCAGGCGGUUUUGUAAGCCAGAUGUGAAAUCCCCGGGCUUAACCUGGGAAUGGCAUUUGGGACUGCAAGGCUGGAGUGUGGCAGAGGAGACUGGAAUUCCUGGUGUAGCAGUGAAAUGCGUAGAUAUCAGGAGGAAUACCGAUGGCGAAGGCAGGUCUCUGGGCUGACACUGACGCUCAUGCACGAAAGCGUGGGGAGCAAACAGG
rnacentral:rRNA from 1 species